UAACACCAUAGACUCAGAAACGCCGUCCAUACUUGGUUGUUCCUCCCGUCUCUCUCUUCUUCUCUUUUGGUGGACAAUAAACCCUAAUUUUUAUCCCAAUUAACUCCUGCAAUCUCCACUAUCAACUCCUUUCUUCUCCUAAUCAGGCCUAUCAAGUACCAAUAUAACUGAUAAAUUUUGGUUACUCUAUUUACCCCUACAAUUGCAGCUAAGGAGCUGCGCUGAGCAACACCAUGGUCUCCUAUGUAAAUUUGUGUGCCAGCAUUCAUAAAAUUUAUCAGAUACUGAAGUUUCCUUGCAGUGCUGAGUCGAGGCAAAAUUUUCUCAAAUAACAGUAUAACACCAUGAAAGUGUGUAAUUGAAUAGCUUUCUUUGAAACUCAUUCUAGCUGAAUAAAGUAACAACGAAGGAUACAUGAACACCAAUUAGAGUAAAUAUAUGGAGCAACUGUAAGGUACAGAACAAGAACUAUGACAAAAACUCAGAUACUAUCUUUUGUUCUAGAAAGAGAAAUUUCAUGUUCACUUCUAUUUCAUUUUAUCAGCAAGUAAUACAGAUAAACCUUAUGAAUCACAUAUGUAGCCAAUUAUAGUAUGAACCGAGCAGUGCAGCAUCAAGAGCUUACAUUUUAUUACAGACAUCGAGUAGGCUAGAGGUUUCAUCCGAACUUCCUAAAGUUGAGUCAUAAAACUUCCUAAACUUCUAUCGUCCUAAUCAUUAUUGUUUCUAAAAGGAUACAUGUUUCGUGGAUUGAUUAUUGCAGGUUUGUUCCAGAAAAUGGCAAGGACGUGCUAAGCAGAUUAUUUGUUAGGCUCACAUUUUAGUUAAUGAAGUAGCAUACAAUACUGAAUGAAACCAGGAUGCUUUCUGCUUCCUCUGAUGAUUUGUCCCUCUCUAUUGAACACCAUCAUGUAUAUUCUUUCUUUUUGUGCGGCAGUUGCGUUUUCUAGCAAGAUUUUGAAAUAGGGAAGUUCAGGGAUUCCUUUUAUUGCAAAGUUCAUAUUAGCAAUACCUAUGGCAGUCAUGGAUCAUGUAAUAACAUUUUCAUGAGGCUAUUUAAACUUACCUUCUCUUUCUAGAACCAGUUCGACUUUUGUUUAUACUCUUUGUAUUAAAU